rnacentral:rRNA from 1 species
AUGGACCACGACUUACUCCUACUCCUCGCCUCCCUCGCCGCCGUGGCCGUCGCUGCCGUCUGUUACCUCCGCAGCCAUGGCAGCGGAGCAAAGCUGCCGCUGCCGCCGGGGCCGAGGGGCUGGCCGGUGCUGGGCAACCUGCCGCAGCUGGGGGCCAAGCCGCACCACACCAUGGCGGCCCUCGCGCGCCAGCACGGGCCGCUGUUCCGCCUCCGCUUCGGCAGCGCCGAGCUCGUGGUGGCGGCCUCUGCCAAGGUCGCCGGUAGCUUCCUCCGCGCCCAUGACGCCAACUUCAGCGACCGCCCGCCAAACUCCGGCGCGGAGCACGUCGCCUACAACUACCAAGACCUCGUCUUCGCGCCCUACGGCGCCCGCUGGCGCGCCCUCCGUAUGCUCUGUGCGCUCCACCUCUUCUCUGCCCGCGCGCUCGACGCCCUCCGCUCCGUCCGCCAGGAUGAGGCCCGACUCAUGGUCACCCACCUGCUGUCAGCCUCCUCCUCGCCGGCUCAGGGGGUGGCCAUCGGGCAGGAGGCCAACGUGUGCGCCACCAACGCGCUCGCGCGGGCGGCCGUGGGGCGGCGCGUCGUUGGCGACGGCGUUGGCGAGAGCGCCAGGGAAUUCAAGGGCAUGGUGGUCGAGCUCAUGCAGCUCGCCGGCGCCUUUAACAUCGGCGACUUCGUGCCCGCGCUCCGCUGGCUCGACCCUCAAGGCGUCGUGGCCAAGAUGAAGCACCUCCACCGCCGGUACGACCGCAUCAUGGAUGGAUUCAUCAGCGAGAGAGAACACCUUGCUGGGGAGGAGGAAGGGAAGGACCUGCUGAGCAUCAUGCUGGCCAAGAUGCGACAGCCGCUGCACGCUGACGCCGGGGAAGACGGGAUCAAAUUCACCGAGACCAACAUCAAGGCUCUUCUCCUGAAUUUGCUCACCGCCGGGACGGACACGACAUCAAGCACAGUGGAGUGGGCGCUGGCGGAGCUGAUACGGCACCCCGACACCCUCAAGCAGCUCCAGCGUGAGGUUGACGACGUCGUGGGAACCUCCCGUCUCGUCACGGAAGCCGACCUGCCACGCCUCACCUUCCUCACCGCUGUCAUCAAGGAGACGUUCCGUCUGCACCCGUCGACGCCGCUCUCCCUUCCCCGUGUGGCCGCUGAGGACUGCGAGGUGGAUGGCUAUCACGUCGCCAAGGGCACCACCCUCCUCGUCAAUGUGUGGGCCAUCAGCCGUGAUCCAGCCUCGUGGGGGGCUGAUGCUCUGGAGUUUAGGCCCGCACGCUUCCUCCCUGGCGGGUCGCACGAGACGGUGGACGUCAAGGGAGGAGACUACGAGCUUAUUCCGUUUGGGGCAGGGCGGAGGAUGUGUGCGGGUCUUAGCUGGGGCCUUAGGAUCGUCACGCUCAUGACCGCCACGCUGGUGCACGCGUUCGACUUGUCCUUGGUUAAUGGCAUGACUCCCGACAAACUCGACAUGGAGGAGGCCUACGGUCUCACCCUGCAGCGGGCUGUUCCCCUACUGGUUCAGCCAAUGCCCAGGUUGUUGCCAUCGGCUUAUGCAACGUGA